rnacentral:lncRNA from 1 species
CAUGUUAUGGAAGAAAGCAAGGAUUCUGAGAAAUGGAGGUGAGGAGGCAGCAGUUUGGGGUCAUGGAGGAUGUCCAAUACAGAGAGACCCAAAGGACCAGGAAGGACAAGUUCUUCAUUAAACAAAUUUAGUCAACAGAAGAAAAAUCUAAAACUGAAAAUGAAUAUAGAGCCAGCAGCAUCAAUUAGAGAAGAAAUCAAUACAACAUCAUCAACAGAAUCAGAUCCGUGAGAAGGUCUUCAGAUGCCUGGGAUAAGGAGUCCCCUAACUCACCAACAGGUUUGAGACCUGUCAGUUAUCCUCAACCUGGUGCUAAGAUGGUCCACUAGAGUGUGACUGCUGUGCACACUACAGCUCUUGGAGUCACAGAACAAAGCAUCCCUAACACCCAGGUCUGGCCCUCCAUGGCCUAGAGAUCACUUAGAACUUGAUGCUGUUAUCAUCGUCUUCCCUGCUUUGAGACUUAUCCAUCCUUUCUCUCAUCCUUCAGCCUUCUCUCUAUAUCAUCCCAGAGAGGCUAUGUGGUUUGGUAGAAAGAAUGCAGAAACUAGAGGGCAAAUACUGUCCUGGUUUUCUUUAUUGAAAAAAAAAAGGAAGAAGAACAAGAAGGUGGAAUCUGAAAACUCUGAGACAUUUUGCCUUCUAUUCCAAAAAGUAUAUAACAUAUUGCUUCAAUCUC